GGGGGGUGCAAGCGUUGUCCGGAAUCAUUGGGCGUAAAGCGUUCGUAGGCGGUAUGUCAAGUCUGGUGUCAAAGCCCGGGGCUCAACUCCGGUUCGGCAUUGGAUACUGGCAAACUAGAAUGUGGUAGAGGUAAAGGGAAUUCCUGGUGUAGCGGUGAAAUGCGUAGAUAUCAGGAGGAACAUCGGUGGCGAAAGCGCUUUACUGGACCAUUAUUGACGCUGAGGAACGAAAGCCAGGGGAGCAAA
rnacentral:rRNA from 1 species